AUAUAAUUUACGAAGCUAUGAUUUCAACUUCACCAUUUCGAAUUCUUAAUUUAAUAGUUUUCUUGUGAUUAGCAACCCUCCAUCAAGGAUAUCAUGAUAAUAUAUGUACAUUUUAACAAAGCAUAUCUGUAAAGUCUUACCGACUUGAGUUAAAAAAACAAAUAAUAAUCAUAACCACACUAAACACAUGAGAAAGAUGUUUGAUUAGAGAGUGCCAAUGAGACCAACUCUCUAAAAUAAGUGACAAUAUAUUAAAAAAGUUGAAAAAUUAUAGGUCUAAGUACGGCCUUCAAUUCGGAUUCUUGACUCACACAAAACAGCAACCCUAUAAAGUGAAAACAAUUCAAAAUGGAAAAACCAACGGUCUAUAAUCUAUAUAAAGAAAACAAGAAACACUUAUGAACCACAUCAUCAAACGACAACCACCGAAGAAUGAACUGAGUGCAGUUAUAUAGAUGAAGACACGCACACAACGUAAAAUGUAUCAAAACAUGCAGACUUAUUUUAUUACUACCUAUAUUGUGUUCUAUAAAGGCAUCUACGUUUUAGAUAUUGAAUUAUAUUGUGUCAGAUCAAAAGUUAUUUCGUUACAUGACUUUUUGAUUGUUAUCUCUAUUUCAAUUAAUAUUUUACCUGGUACCUUUGAUAACUAUUUACACCACUAGGUCGAUGCCACUGCUGGCGGACGUUCGUCCCCGAGGGUAUCACCAGCCAAGAUAGUCAACACUUCGGUGUUGACAUGAAUAUCAAUAUUGUGUCAUUUUUAUAAAUUGCUUAUUUAAGAUAUUUAUUAUGUUUUCAGAUAUAGUGCAUCAUUUAGAAUGUUCAUUUUACUGAUUAAGGGCAUCUUAAAAUUGACAAAUUACAAUUGAUGGAAUUGUAUGUUGAAAAUCUAUGCAAGUUUAAUAGAUGUUAGGCAAAUAUACUCAUAAUAGAUACAAGGAUUGAAAUUUCGUUUUCAGGCAAGACAUACCUUUUAGUCUACAAAAAGACUCAUCAGUUGACACUUUAAGGAGGAGCAUUGAGGACCAAAAAUUCCUAAACAUUUUGCCAAAAUGCAGCUAAGGUUAUCUAUUCCUGAGGUAGAAAAGCCUUAGUAAUUUCAAAAAAAUCAGUUUUUGUAAAAUUAUAACUAUGACCAUCAAUGUUAAUUCAUGUCAACUAAGAAGUGCCUGAUUGCUUCAAGCCAUUUUCAAGAAGUUGUGGAAUAAUUAAAUGUGAUAGUGACAAGGACAGACAUGAUCCCUUUAUAUGUCAAUAUCUGUCACACUUGUGACAAAAUAAUACCAUCAACUUGUUUUCGUGAAUAACUCCAUCUGUGAAUGACAGAUCGUUUGAUUGUCACUCAAAUUACCAGUACAUAUAUUUUUAUUUAUCAUUGUACAAAUAUUCUCAACUGAACAAUAUGACUUUUCAACUAUAUUAUUUGUUUUGUAAAUACCAUAAUUGAGUUAUUGUAUUAGGGACACAUAGUUUUAUGUGUCUGAUUGUAUUUAUACUGUUAAGUAUGAUUUUUAUGGUAUGAUUUAUAUAAAAUAUUUAUAUAGAUAAAAUUAAUAAAACAUUGAUAA
rnacentral:lncRNA from 1 species